GGAAGGACAAGCCUAGAACAGGAUAAAAAAUCGAUCCGGAAAUGCUGUAAUGGGUCCACAGCUAAGUUAUCUCAAGGACCAAAGCUAUUUGAAUCACAACUGGAAACUACCGAGGGAUUGUUCCUUCUCUGGGCUCCAGUGAAAGGCAGUGGUCAUCCUUGUCAUUCAGUAAGUAAGUCAGAGUAGUCUUCUUAAUGUAGAAUAUGCUGUUUCCAGAAUCUGAAAAUGUGAACCAGACAUUGUGUGCCUCUCUUUGGAGGAUCUGAGAUGCAAAAUUUUCUUCUUUAUUUUGAGAGGAUGGCACAGCACGCCACAGACUACGAG
rnacentral:lncRNA from 1 species